rnacentral:rRNA from 1 species
GCGACCCCAGGUCAGGCGGGACUACCCGCUGAGUUUAAGCAUAUCAAUAAGCGGAGGAAAAGAAACUAACAAGGAUUCCCUUAGUAACGGCGAGCGAACCGGGAAGUGCCCANCGUGAAAAUCUG